rnacentral:rRNA from 1 species
GUGGGGAAUAUUGGGCAAUGGGCGAAAGCCUGACCCAGCAACGCCGCGUGAAGGAAGAAGGUUUUCGGAUCGUAAACUUCUAUCCUUGGUGAAGAUAAUGACGGUAGCCAAGAAGGAAGCCCCGGCUAACUACGUGCCAGCAGCCGCGGUAAUACGUAGGGGGCAAGCGUUGUCCGGAAUGAUUGGGCGUAAAGGGCGCGUAGGCGGCCCGGUAAGUCUGAAGUGAAAGUCCUGCUUUUAAGGUGGGAAUUGAUUUGGAUACUGUCGGGCUUGAGUGCAGGAGAGGUAAGUGGAAUUCCCGGUGUAGCGGUGAAAUGCGUAGAGAUCGGGAGGAACACCAGUGGCGAAGGCGACUUACUGGACUGUAACUGACGCUGAGGCGCGAAAGUGUGGGGAGCAAACAGGAUUAGAUACCCGAGUAGUCC